rnacentral:tRNA from 1 species
GGGCGAGUAGUUUAGCCUGGAUAGAAUUCGGCCUUGCGGAGGCUGGGACCAGGGUUCAAAUCCCUGCUCGCUCG